AACUAAAAAGUUGAAAGGAUACACUAAUCAUAUGCUUAUAAAAGUGCCCAAAAUAGAAAAAUAAGGUAAAAAUGUCUGGAAUUUUAUUGUUCAAGAUUUUAAUUUGUUUGAUUUGAAUCAAUUAAGAUUAUUUUGACUUUAAAGUGUAAGCUAAUGAUUUUUUUGAAAAAAAGUGUAAGUUAAUUGUUAACCUUUAAUAAAUAUACAGCUGCACGAGUUGUGCAAAAUAUGCUAGUUAAAUUUGUAAAAAUAAAUAAUACAUUUAAAUGUUAGAGUCAAAAUGCAUGCUGUUGACAUAUUCAAAUUAAACAAAUUGAAAAUUUGAAUUGUAAAAAUAAUUUUGUUAAAAAAUAAAUAGUUAAGUCAACAUAAUUCAUAAUUUAGAUAAAUUUUAUAUUAUUUUGAUGUAAAAAU
rnacentral:lncRNA from 1 species